AGUGAACGCUGGCGGCGUGCUUAACACAUGCAAGUCGAACGAGAACGGGUUAUAGCUUGCUAUAAUUGUCAGCUAAGUGGCGCACGGGUGAGUAAUGUAUAGGUAAUAUGCCUCUUACUAAGGGAUAACAAAUGGAAACGUUUGCUAAUACCUUAUACUCCUUAUUAACAGAAGUUAAUAAGGGAAAGAUUUAUUGGUAAGAGAUUAGCCUGUAUUGUAUCAGUUAGUUGGUGGGGUAAUGGCUUACCAAGACUAUGACACAUAACUGGUUUGAGAGGAUGAUCAGUCACACUGGAACUGAGACACGGUCCAGACUCCUACGGGAGGCAGCAGUGGGGAAUAUUGCACAUGGACGGAAGUCUGAUGCAGCAACGCCGCGUGGAGGAUGACACAUUUCGGUGCGUAAACUCCUUUUAUAUGAGAAGAUAAUGACGGUAUUAUAUGAAUAAGCACCGGCUAACUCCGUGCCAGCAGCCGCAGUAA
rnacentral:rRNA from 1 species